UACGAAGGAUGCGAGCGUUAUCCGGAUUUAUUGGGUUUAAAGGGUGCGUAGGCGGCCUUAUAAGUCAGUGGUGAAAUCCUAUCGCUUAACGAUAGACGUGCCAUUGAUACUGUAGGGCUUGAGUACAGAUGCCGUUGGCGGAAUGUGUCAUGUAGCGGUGAAAUGCAUAGAUAUGACACAGAACACCGAUUGCGAAGGCAGCUGACGAAACUGUAACUGACGCUGAGGCACGAAAGCGUGGGGAGCAAACAGG
rnacentral:rRNA from 1 species